rnacentral:rRNA from 1 species
UACAGAGGGUGCGAGCGUUAAUCGGAAUUACUGGGCGUAAAGCGCACGUAGGUGGCGACGUAAGUCGGGUGUGAAAGCCCCGGGCUCAACCUGGGAAUUGCAUUCGAGACUGCAUUGCUGGAGUACGGAAGAGGAGGGCGGAAUUCCCGGUGUAGCGGUGAAAUGCGUAGAGAUCGGGAGGAAGGCCGGUGGCGAAGGCGGCGCUCUGGAACGUUUCUGACGCUGAGGCUCGAAAGCGUGGGGAGCAAACAGG